UGACCAAAACACAGUACCGAUAAUCAACAUUCUUUAUCAUGAGCAUGCCCACCAAACUGACAGUGUAAAAUUAACAAUUUGACCGGGCAUCAAUAUUUGAGAAACUGAGUUAUCGGCAAUAAUUGGUACAAAACUUAAAGAUUGAUGCAACAUGUCAAAUCAAAUUGCGACAACUAAUGUAUGAGAUACUUCUAUUCCAAAUUAUUUUUUAACACAAUAUCCAUUAAGUCCCGGGCAAAAUAUAGGUAAUUCAAAUUGAACCUAAUGAAGAUGUGGGAGAGGGGGCGGGUAAAGGAGAGCGGGUCAUUGUCAUGGACACCAUGUCAGCAGCAAAGGGUUUCAGACAAUCUUUCUUGCACGCAUCCAUGGACGGAUAGCACUCUUGAUUGAGGAGACAACACAAGCAGACCCAUCCAGCUUUGCACGGUCUAUUGUUGACACAAAGCCCAUACGGUAAAUUGAUCUUCUCAUCAUCCACGUCUUCUUCGCCGAUAAUCCGACCUAUAUAUGGAACAACAAAUGAAUUAGGUGUGAAAGAAUUAGCCAUUGAUAUGGUAACUGAUCAUUUUGGACUGAUAACCAAACAAGUAAUAGGCAAUGAAAGGUGAGAAAGAACUGGUAAAUCUCUGUGGAACUGCAUACAUUGCACAGUAGGCGUGCAGCAUAGGAGAUGGAGAGAUAGUAGCAAGUCUAGAGCGUAGAUGUGAAUCGUGUAUUUGUCCAUCAUCUUCUGAUGAAGUUUGAAAAUGCUAG
rnacentral:lncRNA from 1 species